GAAAUAUAUUUAUAAUUAAACUUCUAAUUUAAUUUUUAGUGAAUAAUUCAUUAGUAUUUCU
rnacentral:tRNA from 1 species